GACGAACCGUGCGAACGUUGUUCGGAAUCACUGGGUUUAAAGGGCGCGUAGGCGGGCUGUCAAGUCGGUGGUGAAAUCUUUCGGCUCAACCGGAAAAUCGCCUUCGAUACUGGCGGCCUUGAGGGAGGUAGGGGCAUGCGGAACUUCCGGUGGAGCGGUGAAAUGCGUAGAUAUCGGAAGGAACACCGAUGGCGAAAGCAGCGUGCUGGACCUUUUCUGACGCUGAGGCGCGAAAGCCAGGGGAGCAAACGG
rnacentral:rRNA from 1 species